AUGAACGCUGGCGGCGUGCCUAAUACAUGCAAGUCGAGCGAACGGACGAGAAGCUUGCUUUUCUGAUGUUAGCGGCGGACGGGUGAGUAACACGUGGAUAACCUACCUAUAAGACUGGGAUAACUUCGGGAAACCGGAGCUAAUACCGGAUAAUAUUUUGAACCGCAUGGUUCAAAAGUGAAAGACGGUCUUGCUGUCACGUAUAGAUGGAUCCGCGCUGCAUUAGCUAGUUGGUAAGGUAACGGCUUACCAAGGCAACGAUGCAUAGCCGACCUGAGAGGGUGAUCGGCCACACUGGAACUGAGACACGGUCCAGACUCCUACGGGAGGCAGCAGUAGGGAAUCUUCCGCAAAGGGCGAAAGCCUGACGGAGCAACGCCGCGUGAGUGAUGAAGGUCUUCGGAUCGUAAAACUCUGUUAUUAGGGAAGAACAUAUGUGUAAGUAACUGUGCACAUCUUGACGGUACCUAAUCAGAAAGCCACGGCUAACUACGUG
rnacentral:rRNA from 1 species